AUUGAACGCUGGCGGCAGGCCUAACACAUGCAAGUCGAACGGUAGCACAGGAGAGCUUGCUCUCUGGGUGACGAGUGGCGGACGGGUGAGUAAUGCAUGGGGAGCUGCCCAAUCGAGGGGGAUACCAGCUGGAAACGGCUGCUAAUACCGCAUACGCCCUGAGGGGGAAAGGUGGGGACCUUCGGGCCUACCGCGAUUGGAUGCACCCAUGUGGGAUUAGCUAGUUGGUGAGGUAACGGCUCACCAAGGCGACGAUCUCUAGCUGGUCUGAGAGGAUGACCAGCCACACUGGAACUGAGACACGGUCCAGACUCCUACGGGAGGCAGCAGUGGGGAAUAUUGCACAAUGGGGGAAACCCUGAUGCAGCCAUGCCGCGUGUGUGAAGAAGGCCUGGUUGUAAGACGACUUCUAGUAGGUAGGAAGGGUUAGGAGUGUCUAAUACG
rnacentral:rRNA from 1 species